UACGGAGGGUGCAAGCGUUAUCCGGAUUCACUGGGUUUAAAGGGUGCGUAGGCGGGUAAGUAAGUCCGUGGUGAAAUCUCUGAGCUUAACUCAGAAACUGUCGUGGAUACUAUUUGCCUUGAAUAUUGUGGAGGUGAGCGGAAUAUGUCAUGUAGCGGUGAAAUGCUUAGAUAUGACAUAGAACACCAAUUGCGAAGGCAGCUCACUACACAAUCAUUGACGCUGAGGCACGAAAGCGUGGGGAUCAAACAGG
rnacentral:rRNA from 1 species